UCCCGGGGUCCCCCCUGCCGAGCCCGCACCAGCCCCCGCAGCGCCCCUCGGAGCCUGAGGGGUGUGGGAACCACGCGAGCAAACCGGCUGCCCUUCCCGCCUCUGGAAGCGUCCCUAUCAGGCCAGUGCUAGGGGGGCGGCUGAAAGCCGAAUCACUACCGUGUGAGCGCUCACCAUGGUGGCGCGGGCCAGGUAUGCCCAGGAAGCGCUACCUCCACCCAGCACGCACUCGUCCGCACACCCAAAGUGCGCACGCGCGGUCCCCGGGACCAGUAGGAAUCUCGGUCUGAGGGUCGCUGGGGCCAAUCACAGCGUGCCUGGAGUGUGGGCGUUGUCUCCCCGUGUUGCGCAUGCGCGGAGCUGCUGCGCAGUAGUGUCUGUGGCUUUUCCGCCGCCACGAGAGGUGAACUGAAGCGUCGGCCUCUUGCCUCCCUUAGCCGGCUCGGCCAGCGCGUGUGUUCCAGGAACUCCUGUCCCGUGGGAUCUGAGGAUAAGGAUGCUGCUGGCUUAGCUUCAAGAGGCUCUUCUGUCUCACAAAUGGAGCUUCCUGAUCCAACUGAAGACCGCAGUCAGGGGUCUUGGAGGGCCACACUGCAGAGGCUCUGGGUCAGAUGGUACAAGUUCAGACUGUGGAGCCAAAUACCGAAGUCCAGUUCAUUAUCUGUCUUUAGGGACAUGGAUGAAUCUGGAGAACAUCAUCCUCAGCAAACUGACACAAGAACAGAAAAUGAAACACCGCAUAUUCUCACUCAUAGGCGGGUGAUGAAAAAUGAGAACACAUGGACACAGAAAGGGGAGUACUAAACACUGGGGUCUAUUGGGGGGAAAAGGGGAGGGCCAGUGGGAGGGGGAGGUGGGGAGGGAUAGCCUGGGGAGAAAAGCCAAAUGUGGGUGAAGGGGAGAAGAAAAGAAAGCACACUGCCAUGUGUGUACCUACGCAACUGUCUUGCAUGCUCUGCUCAUGUACCCCAAAACCUAUAAUCCAAUAAAAAAUUAAAAAAAAGAAAAAAAAGAAAAGCA
rnacentral:lncRNA from 13 species